GUCUAAGUAGCAUAGUGGUUAGUGCACAGUUCCGGACACGUUGGGACGCGGGUUCGAAUCCCGCCUGAGAUU
rnacentral:tRNA from 1 species